GUUAGUUGUGGGCGGGGCCCCAAACGACAGCUUGGUCCACUAAUCGCAAAAGCAAUUAAUUUUAUUUUCUUAAACAAACAAAGAAAAAUAUAUAGAAAAUUGGUAAAUAUAUAACAUACAAAUAUGAAUUGAUUAAAAAUUAAGUUUGUUUUAUUCUUAAUAACUUCGCUGGCACAUGGCAUUAAAUUUCACGCGGGAAGUGGCCUAUUUGAGGCCUACUCGAUUAUUUAGUUAGCAUUUAGGCACAAAGACACAAAUUUAUAUCAUAGUCGGAUAAAUGUUGAAGUAAGAAGAUGAAAUUACCAAAAAAUGACGCUUUCUUCAGUUUCACUGUGGAAAGACCGCGAAGGUCAUGUCCAUGAGCUGGAGUGGAUAACCCAAAGCGCCCAAACCGGCCCACUAACACUCAAAUCCAUGUUUAAAGAUGCUGUCAGGAAAGGAAAUGCAUGGAAAAGUUGCUACCAGAGCCCCAGUGGCCGGAUGAUCCUUCAGUUCUGGCUCAGAAGUGACAAGGUGGAGGAAUGCCUGAUUGUGGUGUGAUCUGAUGGCCGGUGGCUUGUGUGUGUGAAAGGGUCUCAGCUGCAGAAACACCCCCCCCUCAGCCUGUCCUCUCUCCUCAGGGAACGAAUGGACCGUCUUGCGCUUACCAUCCCUAUGAAGAAAUGAAUAAAAUAGAAAUGAGACAUUCAAGUGACAGCCCCAGCUUUAAAUGAUACUGGCAAAAGC
rnacentral:lncRNA from 1 species